UAAACUGGGAGGAAGGUGGGGAUGACGUCAAAUCAUCAUGCCCCUUAUGACCUGGGCUACAAACGUGAUACAAUGGCUGGAACAAAGGGAGGCGAAGGGGUGACCUGGAGCGAAACUCAAAAAAACAGUCUCAGUUCGGAUUGAAGUCUGCAACUCGACUUCAUGAAGUCGGAAUCGCUAGUAAUCGCGGAUCAGAACGCCGCGGUGAAUACGUUCUCGGGUUU
rnacentral:rRNA from 1 species